rnacentral:tRNA from 1 species
AGUAGAAUGGCUGAGCAUGAAUAGGUGAUAGAUUGUAAAUCUAUUAAGGGGAGUAAUAGAUUCCCUUCUACUA